rnacentral:rRNA from 1 species
UCCUACGGGGGGCAGCAGUAGGGAAUCUUCCACAAUGGACGAAAGUCUGAUGGAGCAACGCCGCGUGAGUGAAGAAGGGUUUCGGCUCGUAAAGCUCUGUUGGUAGUGAAGAAAGAUAGAGGUAGUAACUGGCCUUUAUUUGACGGUAAUUACUUAGAAAGUCACGGCUAACUACGUGCCAGCAGCCGCGGUAAUACGUAGGUGGCAAGCGUUGUCCGGGUUUAUUGGGCGUAAAGCGAGUGCAGGAGGUAUACUAAGU